UUUUGGGUGCUAAUAUUCAGGGGUGGAUUGGCCAUUGAGAGUACCAGGACUUUUCCUGGUGGGCCGAUCAAUAAAUGGGCUGAUGUCUGCCUGUUUUUU